ACAUCUCAGAGACAACAAAUCAUUCGUCAAGACUACCAAGAUUGAAGAUAACAAUGUAAUUGACUGCAUUGAUAUCUACAAACAACCUGCUUUUGAUCAUCCUUUGCUUAGGAACCACACAAUACAGAUAAGACCCACAUCAUAUCCGAAUGGGAAAAAAGUGGAUACCUCUGCAAUCAAGAUCACAAAAGUAAGAUGCCCAACAGGAACAAUCCCCAUUCAAAGGACUCAACCAUAUAAAACAAAACUUGGUCACAAGUCUUUCACCUUUUCAGGUUUUCCAGAUUCUGGCCAUGAGGUAACUAUUGAAACCAUUUC